AUGUGGCAACGGCUUCUUCUGAUGGCCACCUUACUCUUUGCUCCACUUCCAGUAAAUUCUAUAAAAGAGCUUCCAGGAGUGAAAAACUAUGAAGUGGUUUAUCCUAAAAGACUUCAUCCACGACAUAAAAGAGAGGUCAAGGAUCCAGGUCAACAGGAAAAUUUUGAAACUGAAUUGAAGUAUGAAAUGACAGUUAAUGGGAAAAUCGCAGUGCUUUACUUGAAAAAAAACAAGAAUCUCCUCGCACCAGGCUACACAGAAACAUAUUAUAAUUCCAGUGGAAAGGCAGUCACCACGAGCCCACAGAUCAUGGAUAACUGUUAUUAUCAAGGACACAUUGUUAAUGAAAAAGUUUCUGAUGCUAGCAUUAGCACAUGCAGAGGUCUAAGGGGUUACUUCAGUCAGGGAGAUCAAAAGUACUUCAUAAAACCUUUAAGCCUCACAAACCAAGAUGAGCAAGAACACGCACUCUUCAAGCACAAUCCUGAAGAACAGAAGACUAAUAGCUCCUGUGGGAUGAACGACACAAUAUGGGCACCUGGAAUUCAUCUGAAGGCAAUCUCAUCUACCAGUCUGGCUACAUCCAAAGACCAAAAGGCUUGGGAAAAAAAGAAAUAUGUAGAAUAUUAUUUGGUCCUGGACCAUGGUGAGUUUAAAAGGCACAAUCAAGAUCAAGAGGAAAUAAGAAAGAUGGUAUUUGAGAUGGUCAAUUACAUCAACAUGCUUUAUAAAAAGCUCAAUACUUACGUGGCCUUAAUUGGGAUGGAGAUCUGGAAUGACAAAGACAAGAUAGAUAUAUCUUCCAAAGCAAGCCUCACUUUAGAAAAUUUUGCUAAAUGGAGGACAGCUGUCCUCCUGAAGAGAAAGCACCAUGAUGUUGCUCAGCUACUCACGACAGUAGCGUUUUCUGGAACAACUGUGGGCCUUGCUUACCUGUCUACAAUGUGCUCUCCUGAUUUUUCUGCUGGCGUCAUUAUGGAUCACAGUGACAACGCACUUCAGGUUGCAGGAACCAUGGCCCAUGAAAUGGGCCAUAACUUCGGAAUGUUUCAUGACAACUACAAUUGCAAGUGCCCUUCUAUAGAAUGUGUGAUGGACGGAUCAUUAAGCAAAAAUAUACCUACAGCCUUCAGUUCCUGCAGCCGGGCCAGCUUUGAAAAAUUCUUUGAAGAUAAAUUAUCCAAUUGCCUCUUUAAUGUUCCACUGCCUACAGAUAUCAUAUCCACCCCGAUCUGUGGGAACCAGUUGGUAGAAAUGGGAGAAGACUGUGAUUGUGGGACCCCUGAGGAAUGUACCAACAUUUGCUGUGAUGCAAAAACAUGUAAAGUGAAAGAAAAUGUUCAAUGUGCAUUCGGAGAAUGCUGUGAAAAAUGCCAGUUAAAAAAGGCUGGUGAGGUGUGCAGACCAGCAAAAGAUGAGUGUGACCUGCCUGAAAUGUGUGAUGGCAAAUCUACUCUUUGCCCCAGUGAUCGAUACCAAAUCAAUGGCUUCCCUUGCCAGGAUGGGAAAGGCUACUGCCGGAUGGGAACGUGCCCCACCCUGGAGCAGCAGUGCACUGACCUCUGGGGACCAGGAGCCCAGGUUGCAGAUAAGUCAUGUUUUAGACACAAUGAAGUUGGGUCAACUCAUGGAUACUGUCGAAAAGUGAACAACACACACAUUCCCUGUAAAGCAGAAGAUGUCAUGUGUGGGAAGUUGUUCUGUCAUGGUGGCUCAGAUUAUCUGCCCUGGAAAGGACGGAUAGCCACAUUCCUGACAUGUAAACUAUUUGCUCCUGAAGACAGCAGAGAAGAAAUUGGCAUGGUAAUCAAUGGAACCAAAUGUGGAGAUAAGAAGGUUUGCAUUAAUGCAGAAUGCGUGGAUAUGGAAAGAACUUACAAAUCAGCAAAUUGCUCCUCUAAGUGCAAAGGACACACUGUGUGUGACCACGAGCUCCAGUGUCAGUGUAAAGAAGGAUGGGCCCCUCCUGACUGCUCUAGUUCUUCCACGGUCUUCAACUUCUCCAUUGUGGUUGGGGUGCUGUUCCCUGUGGCUGUCAUAUUUGUGGUGGUUGCUAUAGUAAUCCGAUGCCGAAGCUCCAGAGAGAAGCAGAAGUUAGUCCAGAGGCCACUGUCUACCACUGAGACCGGCCUACACAAUCAGAAGAAGAAACCACAGAUGGCGAAGACUGUUCAACCCCAAGAGGACUCCAAUCCAAAAAUCUGAAGUAACACCUAAACAACUGUUGCCGGGUAAAUGAUCAACUUGGAAGACUGGACAAUUUGGAUGGAAGAGAAAU
rnacentral:lncRNA from 1 species